rnacentral:rRNA from 1 species
GUGUCAGCCGCCGCGGUAAUACGGGGGGUGCGAGCGUUGUCCGGAAUCACUGGGCGUAAAGGGCGCGUAGGUGGUCUUGUAAGUCUGUGGUGAAAGCCCGGGGCUCAACCCCGGGUCUGCCGUGGAUACUGCGAGACUUGAGUACUGUAGAGGCAGGUAGAAUAUCGGGUGUAGCGGUGGAAUGCGUAGAGAUCCGAUAGAAGACCGGUGGCGAAGGCGGCCUGCUGGGCAGUAACUGACACUGAGGCGCGACAGCGUGGGGAGCAAACAGGAUUAGAUACCCCCGUAGUCC